CACACCCGUUCCCAUCCCGAACACGGAAGUUAAGCUCUUUUGCGCCGAUGGUAGUUGGGGGUUUCCCCCUGUGAGAGUAGGACGUCGCUGGGC
rnacentral:rRNA from 1 species